rnacentral:rRNA from 1 species
GAUGAACGCUAGCGGCAGGCCUAAUACAUGCAAGUCGAACGGUGUAGCAAUACACAGUGGCGCACGGGUGCGUAACACGUAUGCAACCUACCUUACAUUGGGGGAUAGCCUUUCGAAAGGGAGAUUGAUACCGCAUAAGACAGUAACUAGGCAUCUAGUAGCUGUUAAAGAUUUAUCGAUGUAAGCUGGGCAUGCGUCCAAUUAGUUAGUUGGCGAGGUAAUGGCUCACCAAGACGAUGAUUGGUAGGGGAACUGAGAGGUCAAUCCCCCACACUGGGACGGAGAUACGGGCCAGACUCCUACGGGAGGCAGCAGUAGGGAAUAUUGGGCAAUGGGCGCAAGCCUGACCCAGCCAUGCCGCGUGCAGGAAGAAGGCGUUAUGCGUUGUAAACUGCUUUUAUACAGGAAGAAACGACCCUUGCGAGGGGCAUUGACGGUACUGUAUGAAUAAGCACCGGCUAACUCCGUGCCAGCAGCCGCGGUAACAC